CCCUUAGAUGUUCUGGGCCGCACGCGUGCUACACUGAGUGGAUCAGCGGGUCAGGUUGCGCGAAAGCGUUUCCUAAUCUUUAAAUCCGCUCGUGAUGGGGAUUGACGGUUGCAAUUUUCUGUCAUGAACGAGGAAUACCUUGUAAGCGCGGGUCAUCAUCCCGCGCUGAAUACGUCCCUGCCCUUUGUACACACCGCCCGUCGCUCCUACCGAUUGAGUGGUCCGGUGAGGCUUUGGGAUCUGAGCGGAAAGAGCGUUUCGCUGUUUCUGCUCGGAAAACUCAGUCGAACCUUAUCAUUUAGAGGAAGGAGAAGUCAUACCA
rnacentral:rRNA from 1 species